rnacentral:rRNA from 1 species
CCUUGGUGGCUGACCAUUGUUUAUGGGCCGCAGCAGGAUCAUGAGAAGAUCGCGUUCCUUCAGGAAAUCCGCGACGUGCGCGCCAAUUGCGCCGGCCCAUGGAUGCUUUGCGGGGACUUCAACUUGAUCUAUCAAGAUGAAGACAAGAACAACGGGAACAUCAACAGACGCAUGAUGGGGCGCUUCCGCCGUGUUAUCAAUGACCUCGCGCUUAAGGAGGUUUACCUCAAUGGUCGGCGGUACAAAUGGUCGAAUGAGCAGACCCCGCCCAGGUUGGUUCAUCUCGACCGUGUCCUCUGCACUGCGGAC